rnacentral:rRNA from 1 species
CCUAGGGGAGGCAGCAGUGGGGGAUAUUGGACAAUGGGGGGAACCCUGAUCCAGCGACGCCGCGUGAGUGAAGAAGUAUUUCGGUAUGUAAAGCUCUGUCAGCAGGGAAGAAAGCAAUGACGGUACCUGACCAAGAAGCCCCGGCUAACUCCGUGCCAGCAGCCGCGGUAAUACGGAGGAUGCGAGCGUUAUCCGGAUUUAUUGGGUUUAAAGGGUGCGUAGGCGGAAUGCCAAGUCAGCGGUAAAAUCGCGGGGCUCAACCUCGCUCCGCCGUUGAAACUGGCGUUCUUGAGUGGGCGAGAAGUAUGCGGAAUGCGUGGUGUAGCGGUGAAAUGCAUAGAUAUCACGCAGAACUCCGAUUGCGAAGGCAGCAUACCGGCGCCCAACUGACGCUGAAGCACGAAAGCGUGGGUAUCGAACAGGAUUAGAUACCCGUGUAGUC